UAGAAUGAACCAAUUAAGCAUAAAACCCAAAGCUCACACUUGAGAUUAAGCUCGCAACUAUGACCAUACGACAGGUCGGCAUACCCUAUAAUGGUUAUGACUACACUCAACAACAUACAAUCAAUCAUAAACUUCUUAUACUUGACUCUCACAUCAACCCUAAGAACAUUUAUCCUCAACAACAUAAGGUCGAGCCUAAGGCAUAAGUCUUCAAACCCACACUCAAAAAACUAAAGGUCGAACUAGCAAAUGUGUAUGCCAAACCAGCUUAAUUAAGCAACUAUCAGUCUAAUACUCAAAUUGUUUAGUGGAAUGACAAAAUGUUAGGGGUAUUUCUGGGUCCAUAGGGCAAAUUGAUCUUUUCCCUCAUUAGAGACUAUUAACAGACAGCCAAGGGAAUAUUUUUACUUUGGGCUAACUUGACAUGUACAAUAGCACAUCAGCUUAACUACAUCAUUAUCCUACCCAAUAAACCCUUCACCUUUCGCUUAUAAAUAAAGCCAUCCAGGUACUAUCUAAUCAAUUUUAUUUUUUCCUUUACUUUUCUAUUUUCCUCUCUUUUUGACCUCUUUUAGCAGACCUCUGACUUGAGCGUCAAAGUACAAAUGCAAGGAACACCCCCUACUUUUGCUUUUUACUGCUCUCUUUCUCUUAUGAUUUUAGGAUCCCUAGGCUCAGCUCAAAGUUCAACAUCAACAAGUCUCUUCCAAAUUUAGCGAUGAAUGGAAAAUGUCUUCGAUAAAGUCCAUGGAAGAAGAAUCUUUCACAUGUAACAAUGACAACUUCGGAUGUUUAAGGUUUUUUUCUUUUCAUAAAAAGUGGGGACAAAAAUAGUUUGUGAAAUUUCAUCUUACAAAUAAUUUAAUAAAAAAUUUAAUAAAAUUAUAAAUCAAUAAAUUUAUAAAGUUUAAAAAGAAAAUUUGAAAAAAUUAUUUAAAAUUUAAAUUUAACCGAUAUUUAUUCAACAAUAAAAAUUUUGUUAAUAUUGUUACUAGAAUAUCAAUUUAUAAUAUCAAAAUUUAUAAAAU
rnacentral:lncRNA from 1 species